rnacentral:rRNA from 1 species
UGCCAGCCGCCGCGGUAAGACGAAGGUGGCAACCGUUGUUCGGAAUCACUGGGCAUAAAGCGCGCGUAGGCGGGUGUGUAAGUCGGGUGUGAAAUCCCUCGGCCCAACCGAGGAACUGCGCCCGAAACUGCACGUCUUGAGGGCAGGAGGGGACUGUGGAAUUCCUGGUGGAGCGGUGAAAUGCGUUGAUAUCAGGAGGAACACCGGCGGCGAAGGCGACAGUCUGGCCUGCUUCUGACGCUGAGGUGCGAAAGCCAGGGGAGCAAACGGGAUUAGAUA